rnacentral:rRNA from 1 species
GUAGGGUGCGAGCGUUAAUCGGAAUUACUGGGCGUAAAGUGUGCGCAGGCGGCGCCGCAAGUCGAGUGUGAAAUCCCCGAGCUUAACUUGGGAAUUGCGCUCGAAACUACGGUGCUGGAGUAUGGCAGAGGAAGGUGGAAUUCCACGUGUAGCGGUGAAAUGCGUAGAGAUGUGGAGGAACACCGAUGGCGAAGGCAGCCUUCUGGGCCAAUACUGACGCUCAUGCACGAAAGCGUGGGGAGCAAACAGGAUUAGAUACCCUGGUAGUCCACGCCCUAAACGAUAAUGACUAGUUGUUGGAGGAGUUAAAUCCUUUAGUAACGCAGCUAACGCGUGAAGUCAUCCGCCUGGGGAGUACGGUCGCAAGAUUA